rnacentral:rRNA from 1 species
GAUCAUGGGCUCAGAUUGAACGCUGGCGGCAGGCCUAACACAUGCAAGUCGAACGGUAACAGAAAGCAGCUUGCUGCUUUGCUGACGAGUGGCGGACGGGUGAGUAAUGUCUGGGAAACUGCCCGAUGGAGGGGGAUAACUACUGGAAACGGUAGCUAAUACCGCAUAACGUCGCAAGACCAAAGAGGGGGACCUUCGGGCCUCUUGCCAUCGGAUGUGCCCAGAUGGGAUUAG